UACCAGCACCCCGAGUGGUCGGGACGUUUUAUUGGGCCUAAAGCAUCCGUAGCCGGUUCUACAAGUCUUCCGUUAAAUCCAGCUGCUUAACAGAUGGGCUGCGGAAGAUACUAUGGAGCUAGGAGGCGGGAGAGGCAAGCGGUACUCGAUGGGUAGGGGUAAAAUCCGUUGGUCCAUUGAAGACCACCAGUGGCGAAGGCGGCUUGCCAGAACGCGCUCGACGGUGAGGGAUGAAAGCUGGGGGAGCAAACCGG
rnacentral:rRNA from 1 species